rnacentral:SRP_RNA from 1 species
CGUCAGAGCUGUGGAGUUCUCGGCAAGCGAACCCCGCCAGGUCCGAAAGGAAGCAACGGUAGUUUGUCCGUGAUUGCCGCAGUCUCUGGCACUU